UCAGCACUCUCUCGUCCUCUAACCUCCUCCCCAUCCCUGUGUUUGUCAAAGGGCCUUGGCAUAGCUUCCUAAGAGGCUAGGACUUGGCAGAGAAUAUGCACACAGUGCCAACGCCUGGUGUCUGACAGGGCCUUUACCCCGUGUUGAAGGAAUGGCGACUGUCGCUCUGGAACGCUGGAGUAACUGGGGAGAAACAGACUAGACAGAUGAUCAGGUCCCCAAACCGGGAGCUUCACACGGACACCGGACACCGUCAG